rnacentral:rRNA from 1 species
CAGUAGCCGCGGGAAUACAGAGGGUGCGAGCGUUAAUCGGAUUUACUGGGCGUAAAGCGUGCGUAGGUGGUGGUUUAAGUCCGUUGUGAAAGCCCUGGGCUCAACCUGGGAAUUGCAGUGGAUACUGGGUCACUAGAGUGUGGUAGAGGAUAGUGGAAUUUCCGGUGUAGCAGUGAAAUGCGUAGAGAUCUGGAGGAAUACCGAUGGCGAAGGCAGCCAUCUGGCCUAAUACUGACGCUGAGGUACGAAAGCAUGGGGAGCAAACAGGAUUAGAUACCCGUGUAGUCCCUGUCUCUUAUAC